rnacentral:rRNA from 1 species
AAUGCAUAGGAAUCUGCCCGGUAGUGGGGGAUAACCUGAGGAAACUCAGGCUAAUACCGCAUACGUCCUACGGGAGAAAGCAGGGGCUCUUCGGACCUUGCGCUAUCGGAUGAGCUUAUGUCGGAUUAGCUGGUUGGUGAGGUAACGGCUCACCAAGGCGACGAUCCGUAGCUGGUCUGAGAGGAUGAUCAGCCACAUCGGGACUGAGACACGGCCCGAACUCCUACGGGAGGCAGCAGUGGGGAAUAUUGGACAAUGGGGGCAACCCUGAUCCAGCCAUGCCGCGUGUGUGAAGAAGGCCCUCGGGUUGUAAAGCACUUUCAGUGAGGAAGAAGGCUUGUCGGUUAAUACCCGGCAAGAAAGACAUCACUCACAGAAGAAGCACCGGCUAACUCCGUGCCAGCAGCCGCGGUAAUACGGAGGGUGCGAGCGUUAAUCGGAAUUACUGGGCGUAAAGCGUGCGUAGGCGGCUUGAUAAGCCGGUUGUGAAAGCCCCGGGCUCAACCUGGGAACGGCA